GCCUGGCCAGGGAAGGGAGCUUUGCUCUCCCCGCUGUCUGUGGACAGAGGACAAUCCCAGCUGGGGGCAGGUGGCCCCAGGUGCAGUCACGUAUGGCACAGCCGGUCCUCACACGUCCUGGGGUGGGACGUGCCAAGAGGUUUAGGAAGCAGUGGUGCCCAGGGCUUCACAGGCAGGUGAGUCACUGGGCCUGCACCGGGGACGGCGGGGUCAGACGCAGGCCGGGGCGUGUCUUGGCCGGAGCUAAGCACAGCUAUGAAUCAGGAGGAGGGACCACACUGGUCCCUCAAUGUGUGUGAAGUGCACACCCAGUGGGCAGGAUCCAGGGUCCUGUGUGCUGCCAGAGCGGGAAGCCCCCGGGGCCUGAGGAAUGCUGCCCACCAGCCCUGGCACAGCUGGGCCCCUCUGACCCCGCCCCUCUGUUCCAAAGCUAUUUCCCCUGACUCCCACCCUCCCCUGGAAACGGCCCCAGGACUGGGCGGGGGGUGGCAGCUCCCCCUCCCUCAGCUAAUGGCCACUGAGCCUCGCGAGCCUCGUGGAGCAGCGUCCUCCGGAUCGCGUUCCCAGACUGCAGGGACACAAGGUGGAAAAAAAAGUGGGGUCAGGAGUCAUGGCCAAUUUGGGGGAGACUGCUGGCCUUGAAGUCAGGGGUGCUGACCCUGUGGCCUCCAGUUGGUCCUGGGAGUAAAGGUGCCAGGGCUCUGCCGGCCACAUACUGGCCGCGUCCAUCAUGAUCUCAAAAGACACAGUCUCCAAGGUCAUAAUCCCGAGGGUUGAGAUCCUGAAAGCCCAAAUCCCCAAGUUGCGAUUCCCAUGGAACAAAAGGCCGAACUUGGGUUUGUCUUUCAGGAUCGUGGCUCAAACCCCGCAGCUGGAUCCAGCCAGGAAUGAAGGCCGCUUCCCUCAAGCAUGAGCUUUGUUGUAGAGCGGGCCUGGCAGGGCUGCCUGGUAGGGCCCGGAGCAGAGAGACAAGCAGGCCUGUCCCUUGUUGCACUUUCAAGUGACUUGUGACCUCCAGGGCAGCCUGUUUAGCUCCUGUACUGCAGCAGACCUAGACCCGCCCAAGCAGGCCUGCGGAAGACGAGUUAUUUAAUUGACAAAAUGUUUGUUUUUAUCCAGUAGAAAUGUCCUUGGGUCCCUUUUGAGACCAUUCCGUAAGCAUUCAGACCAUCCCGACUAAUCGUCAGGAAAGAGUGCCCCGCGGGGGUAUCAGAAAGAGAGUUAUCAGGAAAAAUUAAACAGUGACAGAGCAUUAGUAUCUGGAAGGAAGAGAGUCUUGUCACAUCAAGAGGCGGGCUCCCCAGGAUGAACCCAAACUAUGUAAAAUUUUAGAUGUCAUUAACAAAAACAGGGGGGCUGCCAAGCUGGGUGGUCAUGGUGGGCUCCUGAGGAUGGAUUCCCACCGCCCCUGCCUGUCCAGGAACCGUCUGAUGGCGACAUCACGCAGGUCUCCGGUUGGUUUAAAACAUCCCUUGUCAACAGUAUUGCAACUUAAAACCCUCUCCCCGCUCCCCACCAAUCAGAGAUGUUAAAUCGGGCAAGAGAUGUGCAUUCUGGAAUUACCUUCUGCCGGAUCUCCAAACCAUUUCAGGACGUCCUAAAGUCACGUCCCUCACCAGGCUUCCUGAGACCCGGAGCCAGUAGCGUCCACACUGCUGGGUUUCACAAACACUCCUCUCUUCCUUAGCAACCUCAAGAGCAAGAUGUCCUGUUACUAGUGCAAACCACUUUUUAUUUAUUCCAGUAUGGUGUUGAAUUAAUAAACUGGCCAAGACUUAG
rnacentral:lncRNA from 1 species